rnacentral:rRNA from 1 species
AAUGCCCGCCAUAUCACCCUGCAUUCCAAAACCGGUUACUCACUGAAGCUAAGCAGGGCUGAGCCUGGUCAGUACCUGGAUGGGAGACCACAUGGGAAAACUAGGUUACUGAUAGAA